AAACAACGAAGCCGAACCCUAAAACCAAGCCUGCCCUCGGAAAAGAAGACAGAUGCCUGUUACAGAAAAAAAGAAAAUUGCGGAGGAGGUGGGGAAAAGUUAUCCACUGCAUCUUGGGAUCAAAUCAUCUUGACUUUUAUCCUGCUACUGGACUUUGAUGACUGAGGGGGAGUGACUCUGAAGACUGCUCAGCUCUGUUGACAUCCAAUUGAUGUGCAAGUCAGGACAUCACUGGGUGAUGUCAUUGGUCCUCUUUGAGAGCAAAAAAUGAAGAACAACAACACUAGCAAGGGGAAAGGCACUCAGAAUUUUCAGGACAUCAAGCAACUUCUUUCCCAAGGACAUACUCUCCACAAGGAUGCCAGAAAAGUCUCCAGCUUUUAUUCACCUAUUACCAUUUUGAGGUUCUCCCCACAUGCCUUGUUACAGGAAACAAGUCUAGUUCUACUCCCAGUUUUCCUUUCCCCAACUUAAUAACCCUGGAAGAGUUUUUAUGACUUGUGCCAUUGCUAUGGCACGUUUCUCAUUCUAUGUGUUGUUCCAAUGAUUUCCAAUACAGAAAUUAUCAUUAAAUUUACCCCAAAUGA